rnacentral:rRNA from 1 species
GCCCUGCCGUAACACAGCAAUUAAAUAACUAAUUGCUCGCCAAAUAACUACGAGUAAAAACUUAAAAUUUAAAAGACUUGACGGUACUUCACAACAGCCUAGAGGAGCCUGUCCAAUAACCGAUAAUCCACGAUUAACCCCACCCGUUUUUGCCUAACAGUCUAUAUACCGCCGUCGCCAGCUUACCUUGCAAAAGAAACAAAGCAAGCCAAACAGAACUGCACUAACACGACAGGUCGAGGUGUAACUUAUAAACGGGUCAAAGAUGGGCUACAUUUUCUUAUCAGAAGAAACGAAACAAGCAUGAAAGAGCAACCUGAAGGUGGAUUUAGCAGUAAGAUUAAAAAUAGAAUAUUUACCUGAAACUAAUGCAAUGAAGUGCGUACACACCGCCCGUCAUCCCUGUAGAAUGACACAAACAUACAUAAUAUUAUCACCUCUUUAGAACAGGGCAAGUCGUAACAUGGUAAGCGUACUGGAAAGUGUGCUUAGAAA